rnacentral:rRNA from 1 species
AGUGAACGCUGGCGGCAGGCCUAACACAUGCAAGUCGAGCGGCAGCGCGGGGGCAACCCUGGCGGCGAGCGGCGGACGGGUGAGGAAUGCAUCGGAAUCUACCUCGUUGUGGGGGAUAACCUCGGGAAACCGGGACUAAUACCGCAUACGACCUACGGGUGAAAGUGGGGGACCUUCGGGCCUCACGCGAUGAGAUGAGCCGAUGCCGGAUUAGCUAGUUGGCGGGGUAAAGGCCCACCAAGGCGACGAUCCGUAGCUGGUCUGAGAGGAUGAUCAGCCACACUGGAACUGAGACACGGUCCAGACUCCUACGGGAGGCAGCAGUGGGGAAUAUUGGACAAUGGGCGCAAGCCUGAUCCAGCCAUGCCGCGUGUGUGAAGAAGGCCUUCGGGUUGUAAAGCACUUUUGUUGGGGAAGAAACCGGCCGGAUUAAUACUUCGGCUGAAUGACGGUACCCAAAGAAUAAGCACCGGCUAACUUCGUGCCAGCAGCCGCGGUAAUACGAAGGGUGCAAGCGUUACUCGGAAUUACUGGGCGUAAAGCGUGCGUAGGCGGUUUGU